rnacentral:rRNA from 1 species
UACGAAGGGGGCUAGCGUUGCUCGGAAUUACUGGGCGUAAAGCGUGCGCAGGCGGUAAGUUAAGUCUGAUGUGAAAGCCCCGGGCUCAACCUGGGAAUGGCAUUGGAAACUGGCUUGCUGGAGUGUGGCAGAGGGGGGUGGAAUUCCGCGUGUAGCAGUGAAAUGCGUAGAGAUGCGGAGGAACACCGAUGGCGAAGGCAGCCCCCUGGGCCAACACUGACGCUCAGGCACGAAAGCGUGGGGAGCAAACAGG